GUUCCGGCUUGUUUUCUACCACCAGGGCCCUGCACUCCGCCUGCCCAUGGCUGUUGCUUCUACAACUUCCUGAAGGGGAACAGAUUGAAAUUUUGUUUAUUCUGCUCCAUAAGGAAACAGAAAAAGAAAGGCUGAGGGACUGGCUGAAGAUCACACACCGAAGGGCAGAGCCAGGACACAAGUUCUAGCUGGUCAUCCAGUUCCACGUCAUCCCAGUGCAUAGCAGAUAACCACAUGUCAAAGUUUAUUGUCAUCACAUUAAAAUGAUUUGUAAAAAUGUUUUACGACAUGUAAAAUUAAUCAAUGAAUUUGAAUAUGGUUAUUUUCUAAUUUGUUUAGAAGAUACAAAGCUUCAUGUAGCAAAACCAAGUACACAGAUCUUAUGACUUAGACCU